CAGCACAUCGGCUGCAGGCAGGAGGUCCCCUUGCAAAAGCCAGGCUCCCGGCUGCUUCCCUACCCCUGUGCUCCUAGCCCCCUUUCACCACCCUCAAGAAGUGGGUGCAAGAAGUCUUUGCCUGUCUCCACUGGUGCUCUGGGCACUUUUAGGAAUUUCCUGAAGACUUGAAGUCUGUGCCACGAUCGUAAGGCUGAAUGAUACAUUGUCUUGUACCCAUGUCCGCAGGCGUAACGACUCUGCGUCACCAUCUAGAUGCUACUUUGGAUCCAGAGUAAAGGACAGAGGUGGAAAUGCAGCAAACGAUAAAUAAAUGCUUUGUGACUUGCCUUGAAACGAAAGUACUGCUGACUUAUACAUCAACUCUGGCCUCUAUCUAGCCUUUGUGACUGCUCUGUGUGGAAUGAAUUGCAAUUUCCAAAGUUAGAACUAAAGAAGGGACAGACGAAUGUAAUUAGGAGACUUAGGGAAGGAAUACCAGGAGUCUGCCAGGCCGAGCUCUGGGUCAUUAAUAAUGGCCUUCGAUUUGGAUACUGCUCUUUGAGUAGAAGCUUUAGAAAUCUCUGCAUCAGGUGGGGAAAACUGGAGCAGCAAAGCUCUCGUGCCUGGUCUCAAGCUCUGGAAUUGCAGACUGUGGCAAGAAUGUCCAGAUAUUUGUAAUUCCCACCCAGAGUAGAAGCUAAGGAGCCAAACUCUUGGUCUCCGUUACUCUUUUCAGAUGGGGAAUGAGAGUCGGCUCCUCUCCUGGCGCCUGUACUUCACCAACUGUUCCUAAUUAUGAGAGUAUUUGAUGGAACCUAGUUUGAUAAACAAACGAAAAGCCCUUGGUAAUUGUCACAGCGGUGAAAGCAUUUACAUCCAUAGGAAUGGAGAAGAAGUUUUGGAAAGCGCACUGAAACUCCAGCACUCACAACCCAGCUCCACCUUGGCCUGACACCCCGCCCUCCAUCCCACCUGGAUGCUCAUGGGCUUGGCUCCUGGCCACCAUUGACCUUACCUGGAAGCUAAUGGCAUGUAAACCCCGGGGCCCCCUUACGUGUCCAGACACCUUCCCGAGACUCUAAGAGGUGUCCUAGCAAUGUGUGCACUCAGACCGACCUUUAAAAACAUCUACACUCUAA